GAUGGUCAAGCAUGCUGAUAUCUGGGCUAAAGAGCUAGGUCUUAGUAAUGUGUAAGUGCCCUGACCAUUCUUCAGGAGAAAGCGUCAUACGAGACGGGUUGUACAAAAGCCUUUAGUAAAGUCCAAUGUGAACAAUUAAGUUCGAAGCAUCCAGGUGAAUUACUGCAAUCAUUCCAAGUUUCAUUGAGUACAUCAAGCAACUUAGAUGCUUAUGCAGAAAAUUAAAGCAAUACAGG